rnacentral:tRNA from 1 species
AAGAAGACUAGGCAAAACUCUGCUUUGAAAUCAGAAACAGGACGUUCAACUCGUCCAUCUUCUUC